rnacentral:rRNA from 1 species
GAUGAACGCUGGCGGCGUGCCUAAUACAUGCAAGUAGAACGCUGAAGGAGGAGCUUGCUCUUCUGGAUGAGUUGCGAACGGGUGAGUAACGCGUAGGUAACCUGCCUGGUAGCGGGGGAUAACUAUUGGAAACGAUGGCAAAAACCGCAGGACAACAUUUAUUGAAUAUUAAUGGUUAAAAAGGGGCAACGCCCCCACACCCGGUGGAACUUGCGUUGUAUUAGCUAGUAGGGGAGGUAACGCCUCACCAAGGCGACGAUACAUAGCCGACCUGAGAGGGUGAUCGGCCACACUGGGACUGAGACACGGCCCAGACUCCUACGGGAGGCAGCAGUAGGGAAUCUUCGGCAAUGGACGGAAGUCUGACCGAGCAACGCCGCGUGAGUGAAGAAGGUUUUCGGAUCGUAAAGCUCUGUUGUAAGAGAAGAACGAGUGUGAGAGUGGAAAGUUCACACUGUGACGGUAUCUUACCAGAAAGGGACGGCUAACUACGUG